AGUCAAAAAUAUAUAUAGUAAAGUAACUUAAGUAGUACUGUACUUUAAUACUUUACACCACUGAUAAUGGACCCAUGGUGCUAUCAGAAAAUUGCUUUGAAACCAUGUCAUGAACAGUAUACCUAACAGUAUUUUGCCUAAUGAACUUGAUGGAAGAAUAGUCAGGGGGACACUUGAAAAUGUUCCAGACAGUAAUUGGCCUAAUGAAUGUGAUGGGGUUUGUGACACCUUAACUGUUACAACAAGUGGUCCAAAACUGUUGACAAGGUCACUAUAGGUGACUAUUGUUGGGUUAAGGUCAUUAAUUAACCCCUUCCUUUGAGAGAGGCUGUCCCCAGGCUUCUCUAUACCAAGUCCCUCAUGUGUACACACUUCCAAACCCCCUCAAUACAAUUCUAAGAUUUUAAUCUGUAACCAAAUGAUUGUAAUAAAGUUUAGCAUAUUAAUUAAUAUUAAUGGUUGCUUGCUACCCAAAUAUUUGAACCUUGGGUAUUCCACUUUAGUACCUUGAGUAGAAAAGGAACAUUUUCUUAAGAAAAUGUGUGUGCUUGCUAUAGUCUACAAUAGUGAAUAGGAGCAAACACGAAUCUCACACACAGAGUAUCCAUCCAUGAGUGUUCUGGUCUCCCUGCAUGGACCUGUAGUAGAGACAUCUACUCCAGAGGUACUUGCUUAGGUCACAACAUAUCGGUCACAGCUGUUUGGGCAAUAUGGCAGCACUCUCAUGUUCUGUGGCUGGAUCCCUCAAUACAGGCUCUGAAAAAUAUUGUCACAUUGGCUGCCACCCAGAGCCAUAGAGACGUACAAAGAUGUCAUGGGGGAAAGCAAAGAUAAACUCUGUGGGAAAAGUGUUGCUUCUGUUCUACUCAGGCUGUUGCCAUAGUAACAGCGGAGCUUAUCAACAACAGGCGGGUUUUGUUUUAGCAAAGAUAUUAAUGGUAGCUAGCAAGCAGGCUAUCAAAGGAAUAUUAGCUAGCUGAUGAGAUCAAAUGGCUGAUAAACGUGGUUUGGAGAAACUGGACUUUGGUGCAUUAAGCAUCGAGCAACAGCAGCUACUCCGACAAUAUAAGAGAUGUAUUUCUCAAAAGACCCACAGAUAUUCGAGAGUAUGCAGCAGAUUACUUCACCGACCAAAACCUUUGUUUGAUCAUUGGCUCCAAACUGCAGGGCGAUCCUGCCACAGACCGAAUCCUUACCGGAUUGUUUGGCAGUUCAACUGUCAUUGAAGUGUAAAGCUGUAACAAGCCUCUUUCUCUGUGUCCUGUACGUCCAGGGUAUUGACUAGUUAUUUGUUUCAAAGUAACAUGAUGUAAAUAUAAAACAUUAUAUAAAGUGGGAAUGUACUGGCACCCAGGCAGAUGUUCUUACUGAGCAUCAUUACAACAGGUUAGCUACAGGGCUAAAGAAGGA